rnacentral:sRNA from 1 species
GGAUAUGAGAGUGAUCUGGCUGUGACAUCUGUCACCCCAUAGAUCACCAGGGUGAUCUAUGACUGGCUAGGUGGGUGUCCCCUUCCUCCCUCACUGCUCUAUGUGUGUCCCUAUGGAAGCAGCACACUGAUCAAAGAGGAGGACCUUGCGGGAUAGAGGAGGGUCAUUCAGAGGUAUGCAAGUGGCCGCACUUCCCUGCUACAGCUCCAAACACAUUCUCGUUGUCUGUGACACUCCUU